ensembl:rRNA 5S_rRNA 5S ribosomal RNA
GCUUACGGCCAUACCACCCUGAGAACGCCCGAUCUCGUCUGAUCUCGGAAGCUAAGCAGGGUCGGGCCUGGUUAGUACUUGGAUGGGAGAGCGCCUGGGAAUACCAGGUGCUGUAAGCU